AGCAGCCGCGGUAAUUCCAGCUCCAAUAGCGUAUAUUAAAGUUGUUGCAGUUAAAAGCUCGUAGUUGAAUUUCGGGAUCAGUACGCUGGUCAUGCCUUUGGUAUGCACUGGUGUCACUGGUUUCUCCCUUCUGAAGAUCCGUGAUGUCAUUAAUUUGGUGUCGCGGGGAAUCAGGACUGUUACUUUGAAAAAUUAGAGUGUUUAAAGCAGGCUCACGCUUGAAUACAUUAGCAUGGAAUAAUGAAAUAGGACGUUUGACCCUAUUUUGUUGGUUUCUAGGAUCGACGUAAUGAUUAAUAGGGAUAGUUGGGGGCAUUAGUAUUCAAUUGUCAGAGGUGAAAUUCUUGGAUUUAUUGAAGACUAACUACUGCGAAAGCAUUUGCCAAGGAUGUUUUCAUUAAUCAAGAACGAAAGUUAGGGGAUCGAAGACGAUCAGAUACCGUCGUAGCCUUAACCAUAAACUAUGCCGACUAGGGAUCGGAUGAUGUUAAUUUUAUAAUGACU
rnacentral:misc_RNA from 1 species